rnacentral:rRNA from 1 species
GAUGAACGCUGGCGGCGUGCCUAAUACAUGCAAGUCGAACGCAUAGCGAAAGGUGCUUGCACCUUUCACGUGCGUGGCGAACGGGUGAGUAACACGUGGACAACCUGCCUCAAGGCUGGGGAUAACAUUUGGAAACAGAUGCUAAUACCGAAUAAAACUUAGUGUCGCAUGACACAAAGUUAAAAGGCGCUUCGGCGUCACCUAGAGAUGGAUCCGCGGUGCAUUAGUUAGUUGGUGGGGUAAAGGCCUACCAAGACAAUGAUGCAUAGCCGAGUUGAGAGACUGAUCGGCAACAUUGGGACUGAGACACGGCCCAAACUCCUACGGGAGGCUGCAGUAGGGAAUCUUCCACAAUGGGCGAAAGCCUGAUGGAGCAACGCCGCGUGUGUGAUGAAGGCUUUCGGGUCGUAAAGCACUGUUGUAUGGGAAGAACAGCUAGAAUAGGAAAUGAUUUUAGUUUGACGGUACCAUACCAGAAAGGGACGGCUAAAUACGUG